GGCCAGACUCAUACGGGAGGCAGCAGUGGGGGAUAUUGCACAAUGGGGGGAACCCUGAUGCAGCGACGCCGCGUGGGUGAAGGAGUGCUUCGGCAUGUAAAGCCCUAUCGGCAGGGAAGAAGCAAGACGGUACCUGACUAAGAAGCCCCGGCUAACUACGUGCCAGCAGCCGCGGGAAUACGUAGGGGGCAAGCGUUAUCCGGAUUUACUGGGGGUAAAGGGGGCGCAGACGGCGAUGCAAGCCAGGAGUGAAAGCCCGGGGCCCAACCCCGGGACUGCUCUUGGAACUGCGUGGCUGGAGUGCAGGAGGGGCAGGCGGAAUUCCUGGUGUAGCGGUGAAAUGCGUAGAUAUCAGGAGGAACACCGGUGGCGAAGGCGGCCUGCUGGACUGCAACUGACGUUGAGGCCCGAAAGCGUGGGGAGCAAACAGGAUUAGAUACCCCCGUA
rnacentral:rRNA from 1 species